rnacentral:rRNA from 1 species
GAUGAACGCUGGCGGCGUGCCUAAUACAUGCAAGUCGAACGCAUAGCGAAAGGUGCUUGCACCUUUCAAGUGAGUGGCGAACGGGUGAGUAACACGUGGACAACCUGCCUCAAGGCUGGGGAUAACAUUUGGAAACAGAUGCUAAUACCGAAUAAAACUUAGUGUCGCAUGACACAAAGUUAAAAGGCGCUUCGGCGUCACCUAGAGAUGGAUCCGCGGUGCAUUAGUUAGUUGGUGGGGUAAAGGCCUACCAAGACAAUGAUGCAUAGCCGAGUUGAGAGACUGAUCGGCCACAUUGGGACUGAGACACGGCCCAAACUCCUACGGGAGGCUGCAGUAGGGAAUCUUCCACAAUGGGCGAAAGCCUGAUGGAGCAACGCCGCGUGUGUGAUGAAGGCUUUCGGGUCGUAAAGCACUGUUGUAUGGGAAGAACAGCUAGAAUAGGAAAUGAUUUUAGUUUGGCGGUACCAUACCAGAAAGGGACGGCUAAAUACGUG